rnacentral:rRNA from 1 species
AUACGUAGGUGGCGAGCGUUAUCCGGAAUUACUGGGUGUAAAGGGUGAGUAGGCGGGACAGGAAGUCAGGCGUGAAAACUAUGGGCUCAACUCAUAGCUUGCGUUUGAAACUCUUGUUCUUGAGAGUCGGAGAGGUAAAUGGAAUUCCCAGUGUAGCGGUGAAAUGCGUAGAUAUUGGGAGGAACACCAGUGGCGAAGGCGAUUUACUGGACGACAACUGACGCUGAUACACGAAAGCGUGGGGAGC